UACGUAGGGCGCAAGCGUUGUCCGGAAUUAUUGGGCGUAAAGAGCUCGUAGGCGGCUUGUCACGUCGGGUGUGAAAGCCCGGGGCUUAACCCCGGGUCUGCAUUCGAUACGGGCAGGCUAGAGUGUGGUAGGGGAGAUCGGAAUUCCUGGUGUAGCGGUGAAAUGCGCAGAUAUCAGGAGGAACACCGGUGGCGAAGGCGGGUCUCUGGGCCGAUACUGACACUGAGAAGCGAAAGCGUGGGGAGCGAACAGG
rnacentral:rRNA from 1 species